rnacentral:tRNA from 1 species
AGUGUACGUAAUUUAAAAAAAAUAUCAAGUUGUGACCUUGAAAAUGGAUAACCUCGCACA